rnacentral:rRNA from 1 species
GGUAGUCCACGCCGUAAACGAUGGAUACUAGCUGUUGGAGGUAUCGACCCCUUCAGUAGCGAAGCUAACGCGUUAAGUAUCCCGCCUGUGGAGUACGGUCGCAAGACUAAAACAUAAAGGAAUUGACGGGGACCCGCACAAGCGGUGGAUCGUGUUCUUUAAUUCGAUGAUAAACGAAGAACCUUACCAGGGUUUGACAUCCUUGGAAUUUCUGUGAAAGCAGAGAGUGCUUUAUUGAGCCAAGUGACAGGUGAUGCAUGGCCGUCGUCAGCUCGUGUCGUGAGAUGUUUGGUUAAG